AGCCUACGGGGGGCAGCAGUGGGGGAUAUUGCGCAAUGGGGGGAACCCUGAUGCAGCGACGCCGCGUGGGUGAAGAAGCGUUUCGGCGCGUAAAGCCCUGUCAGCAGGGAAGAAGAUGACGGUACCUGACCAAGAAGCCCCGGCUAACUACGUGCCAGAAGCCGCGGUAAUACGUAGGGGGCAAGCGUUAUCCGGAUUUACUGGGUGUAAAGGGGGCGCAGACGGCGAUGCAAGCCAGGAGUGAAAGCCCGGGGCCCAACCCCGGGACUGCUCUUGGAACUGCGUGGCUGGAGUGCAGGAGGGGC
rnacentral:rRNA from 1 species